rnacentral:rRNA from 1 species
AAUCAACGCUGGCGGCGUGCCUCAGACAUGCAAGUCGAACGCGAAAGUCCCCUUCGGGGGACGAAGUAGAGUGGCGCACGGGUGAGUAACACGUAGGUAAUCUACCUUUGGAUGGGGAAUAACAACCGGAAACGGUUGCUAAUACCGCAUAAUGCAGCGGCACCUAAUGGUGACAGUUGUUAAAGCGGGGGAUCGAAAGACCUCGCGUCUAAAGAGGAGCCUGCGGCGGAUUAGCUAGUUGGUAAGGAAUGGCUUACCAAGGCUACGAUCCGUAACCGGCCUGAGAGGGCGGUCGGUCACACUGACACUGACAUACGGGUCAGACUCCUACGGGAGGCAGCAGUCGGGAAUUUUGGGCAAUGGGCGAAAGCCUGACCCAGCAACGCCGCGUGAAGGAUGAAAUCCCUCGGGAUGUAAACUUCGCAAGAAUAGGAAGAAUUAGUAGGGGCUAAUACCCUCUAUGAUGACGGUACUAUUUGUAAGCUCCGGCUAACUCCGUGCCAGCAGCCGCGGUAAU